rnacentral:rRNA from 1 species
UACGUAGGGCGCAAGCGUUGUCCGGAAUUAUUGGGCGUAAAGAGCUCGUAGGCGGCCUGUUGCGUCCGCUGUGAAAUCCCCGGGGGCUUAACCCCGGGUCGGCAGUGGAUACGGGCAGGCUAGAGGUAGGUAGGGGAGAAUGGAAUUCCCGGUGUAGCGGUGAAAUGCGCAGAUAUCGGGAGGAACACCGGUGGCGAAGGCGGUUCUCUGGGCCUUACCUGACGCUGAGGAGCGAAAGCGUGGGGAGCGAACAGG